GUCGAACGAUGAUGGGAGCUUGCUCCUGGAUUAGUGGCGAACGGGUGAGUAACACGUGAGUAACCUGCCCUUAACUCUGGGAUAAGCCUGGGAAACUGGGUCUAAUACCGGAUAUGACUCCUCAUCGCAUGGUGGGGGGUGGAAAGCUUUAUUGUGGUUUUGGAUGGACUCGCGGCCUAUCAGCUUGUUGGUGAGGUAAUGGCUUACCAAGGCGACGACGGGUAGCCGGCCUGAGAGGGUGACCGGCCACACUGGGACUGAGACACGGCCCAGACUCCUACGGGAGGCAGCAGUGGGGAAUAUUGCACAAUGGGCGCAAGCCUGAUGCAGCGACGCCGCGUGAGGGAUGACGGCCUUCGGGUUGUAAACCUCUUUCAGUAGGGAAGAAGCGAAAGUGACGGUACCUGCAGAAGAAGCGCCGGCUAACUACGUGCCAGCAGCCGCGGUAAUACGUAGGGCGCAAGCGUUAUCCGGAAUUAUUGGGCGUAAAGAGCUCGUAGGCGGUUUGUCGCGUCUGCCGUGAAAGUCCGGGGCUCAACUCCGGAUCUGCGGUGGGUACGGGCAGACUAGAGUGAUGUAGGGGAGACUGGAAUUCCUGGUGUAGCGGUGAAAUGCGCAGAUAUCAGGAGGAACACCGAUGGCGAAGGCAGGUCUCUGGGCAUUAACUGACGCUGAGGAGCGAAAGCAUGGGGAGCGAACAGG
rnacentral:rRNA from 1 species